UCUGUCCUAUUGAUUUUGAACACUGACCUGAUGUUUUUUUACUUCUCACGGUAAUUAUGUUUCCAAUGAUCAAAGACAUUUUUCUUUUUGAGGCAGAAGUUUGUUGGCUGUAAGAGUUGAAAUCGAGCAAAAUGAAGGAAAUUGUUUUGCAGGAAAGGUCAGAACUGGAGGAGAUUUUUCAGAAUACACAUUUGAAUCUAGAAUCAGAUAGUGCAUUGGAAAUUGCCAUUGAAGCUGUUGAGUCAAGUAUUUAAUUUGUUGUAAGAGAAGUAUCAUUGUCUAAUAUCUUUGUAAUGUCUUUUAAUUUUAUGCAUCUAAUUUUUGGAUUCAGAGGCUGUGGACCUUGCUUUUGUCCUCGAACAAAUUAAGCUUCAAAUAGCUAAAGUGAAAGAGGAAGUGGUUGGUUGCAUGUGAGGAGUGUUGGCUUCACCAGUAUAACAUGGUUGGGUUGGGGUGUUUUAUUUGUACUUGUAUUUUCUAUUUGGGCAAAUUACACUUUUCACCCUUUAGUUUGAUACAAUUUUCACUUUGGUCUUUAUUGUUUUAAUUUGAACAGUUUGGUCCCUAUACUUCAAGUUUAGUUUUAUUUGAUUAUUCCAUUCAAAUUUUCGUUAAUUCUUCUACGUGUAUACCUGAAAAGUUUAACAAGUAUACCAAAAUUAUUAAUUUUAACAUCCAACUUGAAUGGAAGGACCAAAUUGAAAUUAGAUUUGAAUUGUAGGGAUUAAACUGUUUAAUUUGAAACAAUAAUGAUCAAAGUAAAAUUUGGGUCAUACUAAAGGAGUAAAAGGUGUAAUUUGCCCUUUCUAUUUCAUUACUUUUGCAUGAACAUCCUUGUAUCACCCUAAUGUUUGUGUAGAAUGAAAAUCGAAACAAUGUUGGAAGAGAUACUCAUUUUACUUUAAAGCGUGCUGAGAAAGCUCGAGCUUUAGCCAACCAACUUCCAUGUACACAUUGCAUUAUGUCGCUUGGUAGCCAUUUUUUGCUAGAAUUCUCAAAUAGAGAAUUUGGAAGCUAAGUUCAAUACUGGGUCAUUUUUUUGUUCUUGCGUUUGUCAAAGUUCAUUUUUUUUGGAACUAAUGUCAAAGUUCAGUUUGAUCUGAUAUUAUGUGCUUAUUAAUUUUGUGUUGUGUUGAUACAAGAAUGGUGGAGGCAGUGGCUUCGAAAACCGCAUCAUGGGAAAGCGAGAGAGGCAUUGAGUUCGCUUAUGACGGUAUAAGUGUAUCCUCAUUUUGUAAAAACAAAAAAGAUUUGAUUUUCGAACAAGUAGGUUUCAAUUACCAUAUAUUCUGUUUAUUUCCUCUCUUCAAGCAAACUUGUGUGCCUUUCCAUAUUUGUCUUCUUUUUGAGCUUGAAGAGUAUACCAUUUCACAGCAAGAGAAAGCACAAGAGGCAGAGGAUAUGUAUGGACUUAUUAUUUUACUCUAAGCAUGGACUCACUUGGGUAUUUCUUAUCCAAAUUGUGUAGUUGUGGCAUGUGCAAAAAUAUUGAUCUAUUUCAGAACCAGAAGAAACUUCAGGGGCAUUUAAUGGCAGAAUGUUCAAAACCAAGUAGUCCUAUGAAGCUCCAAGAUGGGAAAAAGGAUCUUAAAUUUUCACAGAUCAACAAACGACUUACUAUUGGAGGAAAAGUUGAUCCUAAUACACCAUGACAAGCCAAGAAGCGUGAUCGUUUGCUCCCAAAUGACUAGUUAAAUCAAACCCAGGAUGAUGAAUCUGUAACUUCAUCAGAUGACAAACAAGAUCGUUUACAAAUUCAAGACUAAACCAUUGGAGUAUGAAGCUUUGAUGCGCACUGCGACUGGAAAACAUUAUUGGACGCCCGAGGAGAAGGCUGAGGACGUUGGCGACGGUGAAUCCGAUUCAGUGGACUCUCCUGGGUUACAGCCAUUCACCGAGCCAUACAGACCGGUCGUUGACUCAUCUCCAAACUCCCCCACCGUCCAUCUUGAUGAAGCAGACCCUAGG